rnacentral:misc_RNA from 1 species
GAUGAAGAACGUAGCGAAAUGCGAUACUUGGUGUGAAUUGCAGAAUCCCGUGAACCAUCGAGUCUUUGAACGCAAGUUGCGCCCGAAGCCAUUAGGCCGAGGGCACGCCUGCCUGGGUGUCACACAUCGUUGCCCCAAUGCCAAUCGCCUCACUUUGUAGGUAUUUGCUUGGGGUGAAUGUUGGCCUCCCGUGAGCUUUGUCUCACGGUUGGUGGAAAAUCGAGUGCAUGGUGUCGGGUGUACCAUGAUGGAUGGUGGUUGAGUGAUGAUGCUCGAGACCAAUCAUGGGUAACUCCACCAGAAUUGGGCUCGGUGACCCACAUGCGUCCCUUGGAUGCUCCCUAAGGAGACCUCAGGUCAGGCGGGGCUACCCGCUGAGUUUAAGCAUAUCAAUAAGCGGAGGA